rnacentral:rRNA from 1 species
AUUGAACGCUGGCGGCAGGCCUAACACAUGCAAGUCGAGCGGAUGAAGGGAGCUUGCUCCUGGAUUCAGCGGCGGACGGGUGAGUAAUGCCUAGGAAUCUGCCUGGUAGUGGGGGAUAACGUCCGGAAACGGGCGCUAAUACCGCAUACGUCCUGAGGGAGAAAGUGGGGGAUCUUCGGACCUCACGCUAUCAGAUGAGCCUAGGUCGGAUUAGCUAGUAGGUGGGGUAAAGGCCUACCAAGGCGACGAUCCUUAACUAGUCUGAGAGGAUGAUCAGUCACACUGUAACUGAGACACGGUCCAGACUCCGACGGGAGGCAGCAGUGGGGAAUAUUGGACGAUGGACGAAAGCCUGAUCCAGCCAUGCCGCGUGUGUGAAGAAGGUCUUCGGAUUGUAGAGCACUUUAAGUUGGGAGGAAGUGCAGUAAGUUAAUACCUUGCUGUUUUGACGUUACCAACAGAAUAAGCACCGGCUAACUUCGUG